AAGUCGUAACAAGGUCUCCGUAGGUGAACCUGCGGAGGGAUCAUUAACACGUUUCCAUAACGUUUUAUUACUACCAACCAACCGCAUACAUUUAUUUUCAUACAUUUAUUUGUGUGUUUUAAAUUUUCAUACGGUGUAUCCAAGCUAGUAUUGCAGUGUAACUUUUACACUGACUUUACACGGUCUCUUUCUCUCAGGCUUAUAAACUCUUAGUUCCCUUCAUCGCUGGAACGAAACAAACCCCUUUCACCAUUCUAAUUAAUCGACUGAUAUGCAUAUUCAAUAUAUAUUAUAGUAUAAUGAGCGCAAGUUCUAUAAUCUGUUAUAUGUUAUUGAUAGCAACCAAAUAAAUCAAAUAUCUAAGCACAACUCUUAGCAACGGAUAUCUUGGUUCUC
rnacentral:misc_RNA from 1 species